UCGCAACACCCGAGUCACCGAUGCCCCCACCACUGGCUGCACCGCCGCCUCCACCAGAGAGAGUCGACACAUAACUGUCAGCCCUUUUAGUCUUAAAAGAAUAGUUGUAGAAUUCUGCAGAAGAAUUCAAACCGGGAAACAAAGAAGGCAAAAGACGAAGGAAGAAGAGAAAAGCCGAGAGAAGAAAACAACGUAGGAGUUCAAGACGUCUAUAUUUUUCUGCUAAGAAAACCAGGGGUUUGUCGGCAUAGAAAAAAAGAGAAGUAAGUAAAUUUCUUAGGAGUAAAGGAGCCAUGGCUGUUGGUGAACCCUCCAUUAGAGCCCCUUCCGUUUGUCUUCUCCCU
rnacentral:lncRNA from 1 species